GAGUGUGUACAGUCGUGUCAACAAGUCAUAGCAUUAGUAACACUCGGUGUCUGGGGCUUAGAGUACUACAUUAAGGAGCUGUGAAUGAACUUGACAUACAUACAAUAUUAACAAACACGGUAGGCGGAAAAUGUUACUAUUUUUUAGUUACAAUUUUCUAUAUAAAUCCAAUAAGACGCUGCCGAUAUUAAAUAAAAAGUUUGUUCGUAAGAUUAUCUUAAAGGUAAUAAGAGUUUUAGAUGAGGCGAUGACUCACCGCGUGCUAAUUGACCCUUGCAUCACCUCAACGCGUCACAGAUCGCAGACUAUCAUUAAUUUAGAAUCAAAUCAAAUACGUCUUGUAAACGACUACGAGAGCGUGUGCGCGUGAGAGCGUCUUACCGUCUGGGAACACCGGGAUGAGGACGCGGGCGAGGCCAGUGGCACAAGCCUAUAGAUCACACUAUGUCUCCUGUGGGACAGAGCUCGUGCGAAGGUGGGCUGCGUCCUCCGAGGGUGCUCGUUGCGCGUCUCGUGGAGCGUGCGGCCGCUGUACCGGAAGCGUGACCCCAGGCGGGGGAACAGCGUGCUGCGAGACACCGGCUCCGGGCUCAGCAGCCUGCGGGAACAGGGGGUGUUGAUACAGGCAGGUAGUAACUUGGCCGACUAUGGGAUAUAUUAUUUAAACAAUCUUCUCUUGACUAUUCACAAGUACGAACUACGACCCAGCAUACAUAUUAUGUAAGUUCUUCGUAUAAAAUUUCCCAAAUUAUUGCCUCCAGCUGUACAGUCCGGUAUAGUCCGGUUACCUGAAGAAGGUGUGAUGUUCGACGCAGGUCUUCCAGAGCUUCUUGGCGGCGCGGUGGUUGGCCAGCUUGAAGCCGACCGUGGACUCGAACUGCUCGAACUCCCCCGGCCGCAGCUUCACGUAGAAGUUGUGCCGCUUGUAGCUGAUCUUCAGUAUCUUCGGCCACGCGAAUCUGUUUAUGCGCAAUCUGGAACACGAUGGACAGUUCAGAGAGAGUCCACAAUGCUCCGUCCGGCACACGGCCACAUCCGGCCGCAGCGGAGGGAACAAAUAAUAAAAUGACGCGUAGUAAUCCGAAAA